UUCCUCCAGGUGUCACCACUUCAUCCACCAUGUAGUCCACAAUCGCCAGGACAUCGUCCAUGAUCGCAGAGACAUCGUCCACGAUUGGAGAGACAUUGUUGAGGAUGAGGGAGACAUUGUCCACGAUCAGAGACCUUGUCAAAGAUGAGAGAGACGUUGUCCAUGAUCAGAGACAUUGUCCAUGCUUCGUAGAGACCUUGCGAUAGAAUCGGCGGAGACGGGGGUCACCGAUUUGACGGCACUGCCCGCGAUCAUGGACAUUGCCGAUGAUCACAGAGACACCGUCUAUGAUCUCAGAGACAUCGUCCACGAUCACAAAGACAUUGUCCAUGAUCACAGAGACUUUGUCCAUAAUCUCAGAGACAUUGUCCGCAAUCACAGAGACAUAGUCCACGAUCACAGAGAGUCGUCGUACAAUCAAGAAGUUCUUUGAGACCAGGACAGAAGCCUCCAGGUGUCACCACUUCGUCCACCAUGUAGUCCACAAUCGCCAGGACAUCGUCCAUGAUCGCAGAGACAUCGUCCACGAUUGGAGAGACAUUGUUGAGGAUGAGGGAGACAUUGUCCACGAUCAGAGACAUUGUCCACGAUCGCAGAGACCUUGUCAAAGAUGAGAGAGACGUUGUCCAUGAUCAGAGACAUUGUCCAUGCUUCGUAGAGACCUUGCGAUAGAAUCGGCGGAGACGGGGGUCACCGAUUUGACGGCACUGCCCGCGAUCACGGACAUUGCCGAUGAUCACAGAGACACCGUCUAUGAUCUCAGAGACAUCGUCCACGAUCACAAAGACAUUGUCCAUGAUCACAGAGACUUUGUCCAUAAUCUCAGAGACAUUGUCCGCAAUCACAGAGACAUAGUCCACGAUCACAGAGAGUCUUCGUACAAUCAAGAAGUUCUUUGAGACCAGGACAGAAGCCUCCAGGUGUCACUACUUUGUCCACAUCAUUCAUGAUCGCCAAGAUGUCGUCUGCAAUCAGAGACAUGGUCCAUGAUUGGAGAGUCAUGUGCAAUUGCAGUGACGGAGUUCCUCAUACAAUGAAGAAAUUCAGAACUGAGGCCUCCAGAUGAAUUCACAGAAACAACAGGAUCCACCAAAAGUGAUGAAGGAGAAGACGGCAGCUGAAAACCUGAAGUGGAUGAAAGGAAACAUACAUGUUACCAAGCUGUUAAUUAGAUAAAAGACCUCCACCAUCUAACUGCUAUAAACAGUGUUGGUUUCCUGUUGUUUAAGUAAAAACUCGACCAUCUGUAAUGUAGGCAUGGGCACAUUUUCCAAAGACUUUAUUAAACACCGUUGAGAACAUUCAACUGCUUAUGAUACAACUAUUUAAUUAAUAAUUGUAUCACUAGCAAUUAAAUGAUCACAAAGAUGCUUAGUAGACAUGUUCAGCUUUGGAAAAUGUGCUCAUAACUACAUUAACUCUAACCAGCUCUAACAAGUGUUUCCUUGUGGUCAAAUGUCUGUCAUUCUCUUUGCUGUGAUUUGUUAAAUGUUGUCUGGAAUAAAAUCAUUAAA